GUUAUGAAGUUUGAAUCGUGCAGCACAUAAGCAUUCCAGAUUUGUCGCCUGCACUUACGAGUGUGUCAUAAGGAGUUGUCCACGUCUCUUCAUGAUGGCUCUAGAGACUGGCAGGAGGUUUUGGAAGUAGUUGAUUGAUGCCUCGGCCCAUUUGUGAACUCUUCUUCAGAUGGCCUGCAGGUUCCAUUUAAGUCUCUCACAAGAGAGUCAACUUGUAUCCUUCAGCCACAUUUCAAAGCAGAAAUCCACGGAGAUAGGCAUAAUUGGCCCUAGUCUACAGACUGUGCAUACGGCAUUGGUGAAGACGGAGCUUCCUGCUUAAGGCCACAGUCACCAAGUGGCGGAGAUUAACCCUGGCUCCUGCUGGCUCCAGCCUGUGCUAACCACAGUACUGAUGUCUCUGACUUCCCACAAAUGGAAGUGUGUGCCCCUUGUCAGUGGCGACGCCAUGAAGAAAGUGUUUCUCCCUCCACCAUCAGUCAUUAACUGUGUUACGUCUUCAUGGAGAGUGAGGCCUCACUAGCUCCCUCCCUUUCCACGACAGAGGGUCGACAAAGCCAAUCUUACACAGAUCUUGUUCGGAUAGUCACAGCUGCUGAGUGUUAAAGGUACAGCAGCCAUGGCAUUCCCAGAAGUCAACAUUCCACACCACCAUGAAGCCAUCACCAAGCCACUACCGUGCCACCACCACUUUCUCUGGUUAUUACAUUUUUCCUUCUUCCAUGAUGUUCCCUGAGCUUUGAAGGGGGUGAUACAGAUAUCCCACUUAGGACUGGGCACCGAGUACUUAUCAGGAGACAAUCUCCUCACGGGCUUGUCCCGAUCAUAUGUCAGGUGUGCAAACCAUGACGCCUCGUGACGUUUUUUACUGGCUUCAGAGAAAAUUUGCAUAGUGUAUCCUUUGUUUUUCACUUCCAGUAUCUGCCCCCACAAGUAGCUUUUUACACACUGUUCCAAUCAGUGGACAUGGGACAUCUCCCCACUCACUUAGACUCUGAUUUUUUUUCUCAACAUCUCGUAGUGUUCACCAUGUGAGUUUGGCCCAUGCUCUGUUGAUCUCAUGGCUAAGUGUUUGGCGUUCCUUUGAGCAAGGAAGAGUGGUGUUUAUACCAUUUUACAUUUAGGAAGGGGUUGCUUCCCACUUGUCUGUUAUUGUGUUGAAGCAAAACUGAUUUCCAUGCGUUUCUCUCAUAACCUCACUGAUUAGUUGAGGAUGCAUUUUUGUAGAUAUUUGGGAUU